rnacentral:tRNA from 1 species
GAGCCUGUAGCGCAGCCCGGUAGCGCACUGCUCUGAUAAGGCAGGGGUCCACAGUUCAAAUCUGUGCAGGCUCA